UAACCAAUCUGUAACCAUACAUGAAUGCAGCUCUUGUGGUAAAGCCACAAACUCCAGAUCUCCCCUGUCAAAAUGCCAGACUCCAAUGAAGCAGUUCCAGCAUCAUGCCAGGUCAUCAAACAGGACUUUGACAAAUGUGUCAGAGAGAAGGGAAAGGACGCCUGCAAAGAUCUGAUGGACGCCUUCCAGUCCUGUUUAAAAACCCUGUCUGAGGGAUCAUGAUACGUAAGGAAGUAAAUCUUCAUCAAAUCUUCACUUUACCCAAUCCUCCACUUUUCCCAGCAUUCCCUUCACUGCUGAUUUCACCGGACCGAACCAUCAGAAAAACUGAAGAGGGGGGUGCUGAUACUGAACGUUGUGAAAUACUGUAUUCUUCUGUCAAUGUGAAACCUUUUUUGUCAUAACUGUGAUAACUCCAUUAUGGAUUCUACUCUGACACUGAUACACUCUGCACUGUAACCUUUCUUGCACAAAAAUGCAAUAAAUAAAA